rnacentral:lncRNA from 1 species
GGAACCCUGCGCUGCGCCUAUGGAGCGGAGGAGCCCCGACGGGGCGGGUGGCACGUGCCCCGCAGGGCGCCUGGGUCUCUGAGUGGCGCGGUUGCGGCCCACCGGGACAUUGGUCAGGGACCCCUUGGUGCCUGAGCCCAGAGCAGUUCAGAGCUGGCUGCCUCUGCCCAACCCCGCGGCCCUGGUGUGGUCGGCGACCUCAGCCCAUGAUUUACCCCCGGGUUGAAUGCUACAAUCCCAUCGUCCGGCUUCACUGGGCAUCAGAGGAAGGGUGCACGCGGAGAAAACCCUGCACAGAUCCCGAUGCUCCCUACGGGUUCUGGGAGAUCAAGGAGAUCUGGAUUUAGAGAGUGACAGAGGUCCGGAGACAGGAAAAAGAUUGCUCCCCAAACCCUAUGGAGCCAGCCCUGAUGCUUCCUCAGCUGCCUGGGGUCCCUGUGGCUGAGAGGGACUGUGCACCUGCUGCUCUGUGCUGACAGCCUCAGGCUCUGCUGUUGGGAUUGUAUCACUUGCAGCCCAAGCAGCCAGGGGACAUUGACUGCUAAAAGGCGACAGGAGUCUGAGAAAUCCAGGCCCCGGGAGCCUCUUCCAUUUGCUGGCUGCUUUGGGAGUACAGUGCUCCCAGGGUUUCGCGCUGUACCGGUCUGCAGGGAAACACCCUCUCUGCAUUUUUCUCUUUUGACUCUAGGUCUUUUCCAACCCCUGAUUACCUGUGCCCUUCCUCCUCACAGAUAUAAACAGUCCUCUUGCCUCCCCACCCAUGCUGGCUGACUUUCCUCAGGC